CAUCCUUUUUAGUCAUGUGCAUUGCGUGUGACAUCUACCCAGCUCUGCAGGAAGUCAACGUACCCCAUGUGCCAGUUCGCCUCACCACCUCGAGCGGGAGGCACAACCACAAUGCGGUCGUCGCACGCACCUUAACGACACAACCCUUGGGCCACGUGCUAGCUGGGCUCCARAAGUGUCACAAGCUCUCGCAAAUGCAGCAGGCUUCAGGGACUUCAGCCCUCGGCCUAGACCUUGGUAGGUCAUUAAGCCACCCUCGUCGAGACAACGGUCGAUCCA
rnacentral:misc_RNA from 1 species